rnacentral:rRNA from 1 species
GAUGAACGCUAGCUACAGGCUUAACACAUGCAAGUCGAGGGGUAACGAGAGGGAAGCUUGCUUUCCUUGUCGACGACCGGCGCACGGGUGAGUAACGCGUAUCCAACCUGCCCCCAACUAGGGAAUAACCUUGCGAAAGUAAGACUAAUACCCUAUAAUUUCCUCAGAUGUCAUCUGACGAGGAAUAAAGAUUUAUCGGUUGUGGAUGGGGAUUCGUCUGAUUAGCUUGUUGGCGGGGUAACGGCCCACCAAGGCAACGAUCAGUAGGGGUUCUGAGAGGAAGGUCCCCCACAUUGGAACUGAGACACGGUCCAAACUCCUACGGGAGGCAGCAGUGAGGAAUAUUGGUCAAUGGGCGGAAGCCUGAACCAGCCAAGUAGCGUGCAGGAUGACGGCCCUAUGGGUUGCAAACUGCUUUUAUACAGGAAUAAAGUUAGCCACGUGUGGUUAUUUGUAGGUACUGUAUGAAUAAGGACCGGCUAAUUCCGUGCCAGCCGCCGCAGUAA